rnacentral:lncRNA from 1 species
CAGUGUGGCGAUUCCUCAAGGAUCUAGAACUAGAAAUACAAUUUGACCCAGCCAUCCAAACCAGGUAUGACAACAGGUAUUGCUGAAAUUAAUAUUUCUUAUUAAAAUUAUUCUUGAAGACUACCCGCAGACUUUUCUUGCUCAUUCAUUCUUGGGUGCCUUUGAUUUCUUUUAUUUUUUUCUCUGAUUAGCCUUAUUUUACCACACCUUCAAAAACUAGGGCAAAUUUUAUGUCUUGUGUCUCUCCCAGACCACUUUCUUUUUUAAAAAAAUAAUGCCAAGAAUUGUGAUUGAGGUCAUGAAUUUGUUCAUUUUGUAAUAUGUUAUUGGGUUAGGACUUGCACACAUAUGGGGUAGGCAGGAACUACUUACUGGCCACAUUGUUGAAAUUCUGCAAUAAAAAUGUAUGCUAUUGGAG